CGGGCGCUCCCGGGCGCUGUCGUCGCUCCCUGCUGCCGGCCCUGGGCCCCGGCUGCCAAGCCCUAGGUCAACCUGGAGAUGUGAGCCCAGAAGUUCAGCCAUCCAGGCACUCAGAAGCUGCUGCUACAGGUACAAGUGGACUCAGCUUGCUCAAACAGGGAGCAGGCCAUAGUAUCACCCAGAUGAUGCUAGUUUUGCAUGCAUACAGAUUAUAAGAGCUCUGGGGUCAUGGAGGCUUCUAUCCAGGUUGUAGCAGAAUACUGGGAAUCUAGGCAAAUGUUUGGCAGUGCUAGGACCCCCUAAAAGGAUAGUGCUUGAAUCUAUGAGAAUGAAGCCAGAGGUAUUGUGAAGACACCAGGAAUUUGGAAAUGCUAGGAAUGUGGAAUAUCGGGUGAUGAAACUGCAGUACCUGAGUGGAGCCAGCCCAAGAAAGAGAUCAUGUGAGCUGCAACCAGAAAGUCCAUACAGGUGAGACUAUUCAAGCCCUUUGGAGUUCACAUGUCACCACAACUUGCCCCAGGAGUGGACAUAUCACUACAGCAUCUAAUGCUUGCCCUGCUGGCUUUUGUUCUAGCAUUGGGCAGAUUCAUUUCUAUUCCUUUGUUCUUGGAAUGGGAAUGUUUACCCUGGACCAUUGUAUGUUGGAAGUAACUUUCUUUUGUAUUUUUCUAGGCUAUCAACAGUGAAGAAUUUACCUUAAGUCUCAAAGGAGUCUUUUGAUUUGGACUUUUCAGUGAUUCAGGAACUGUUAUGACUUUGGCAAAUUCAAUAAAGAUGGACUAAAUUCAUUUUCCAUAAUGAGAUUGAUGUGAGCCUUUUGGGGGAAGAACUAUGCAGAAUAUUAUAGUUAUACCUUAAAUGUAUCCCAGUGUGUUUGGAAGGUGAUUGAAUCAUGGGGCAUUGUACUCACCAACUGAUGAGUUCAUAACUGAAUGUGUUUUGUUAUGGUUUAUAUACAGAUGUCUCCCUAAAUCCUCAUGUGAUCAUAGCUGGAACUUUUGGAAGGUGAUUGGAUAUACAGUAUUUACUGCUGGUGGUACGUUCAAAUGCAGUACAGUUCAAGUACUGUACUGGAAUGUGUUAGUUUUCCAUUGCUACAACUAACACCUAAAAUAACCAACUUAUACAGAGAAAAGUUUUAUUUUGGCUUCCAGUCUUUGAGUUCCAGUCCAUGAUCAUGCAAACACAUUGCUUUCAGAUAUCUUGGG
rnacentral:lncRNA from 1 species